rnacentral:rRNA from 1 species
GACGAACGCUGGCGGCGUGCCUAAUACAUGCAAGUCGAACGCAGUUGGGACGGGUGAGUAAACCGUGGGUAACCUGCCCAUCAGAGGGGAUAACACUUGGAAACAGGUGCUAAACCGAUACUGAUGGAUGGACCCGCGGUGAAUUGGCUAGUUGGUGAGGUAACGGCUCACCAAGGCCACGAUCCAUAGCGGAGCUGAGAGGGUGAUCGGCCACACGGGGACUGAGACACGGCCCAGACUCCUACGGGAGGCAGCAGUGGGGAAUAUUGGGCAAUGGACGAAAGUCUGACCGAGCAACGCCGCGUGAGUGAAGAAGGUCUUAGGAUUGUAAAACUCUGUUGGUAGAGAAGCGGUAUCUAAAGAGAAAGCAACGGCUAACUCCGUGCCAGCCGCCGCGGUAAUUC